UUGACUACUCUCACAGCUUGCUGCAUCUAUUAUUAGACCGUCUAUUUACUUGUAUGAACCAAUUUCAGAUCAGUCCAUCACUGAACAGACCGCAGUUGUUGUUGUUCCUCAACCCACUGAUGGUGAUGUCACAUGUGUACCGCGGCCUUCCGAACUGAACUCAGCGGGCAACCCGGCAACCUCAUCAACGUUUGUGUCUCUCAGUUGUCUCACUGACGAGUUAGCCGCAGCCGUAGCACAAAGUGUAAAUGGUAUUACAAGAUUCGUCUUUCGUUGUGAACCGUAUCUAUCUUAUAGAGGUUGUGUUGCAGAUGUUCAUUAACAUACUAAGUACAUUAUCAUUUUGGUUUGGUUUUUUUCCAGAGGCUCUAGAUUUGACUCAUAUGUAUGGAGGAAAUCACGUAAACAUCAAUGCAACUCCUCAAGUUUUACCACAAUCCGGUUCAACAUCCAAGCACAUGACUACAGGAUCUGUCGUGCGUGUCUCCAAACCAUCUAAGAAAGUUAUCUUGUCUGAUGAAAAAAGGGAGCAGAUAAACGCCAAGAGGCGAGCUGCUUAUCGGAGGAAAAAAGAGGAGGAAGCAGAAAAAGUACAACAUGGAAGUCAACCUGACCUUUCAAUAUCUGGUAUGAUUGUUUGAUUUUAAAUCAAAACAAUGUACAUUCCUGCAUUCACUACUCUCACACCUUCAUGCAUCUAUUACUAGAUGACAAGAAAGAGCUAAUAAAUGCGCGGAGGCGGGCAACGUAUCUUAAGAACAAGGAAAAUGUUGACAUUAACAAGGAACAGAUGAAAGCUCCGUUGGUAGAUGGUUAUCGAAGAAAAUAUGAUGACGCCGCCGGCAAGCAUCUCCUUCAAAAUAUGCCUGCCGUUGACAUGUCGGGUAUGCAAAAUGUUCCACGGAGCGCUCUCGGUGAUAUCACUAAUGGGGUACAAGCUCACCCUAUGCUCCUUGCCGACAAAAAUAGCCAGAUCAAGGCUCAAGGGCGAGCUACCGUGAAGCACAAAGAUGAUAACCUUCCUGCCCUUACAAUAUCAGGUUAGAAUGCUUUUUGAUUCAGCUGCCUCUUGAUAGUAUAUAUAUUCCUAAUGUUUCUGGAUACAAGUG